rfam:Ictidomys tridecemlineatus contig054478, whole genome shotgun sequence.
GGCUCAGUUGGUAGAGUGCUUGCCUAGCAUGCAUAAGACCCUGGGUUCAAUCCCCAG